rnacentral:rRNA from 1 species
UGCAGUCGAGCGGAUGAGGGAGCUUGCUCCUGGAUUCAGCGGCGGACGGGUGAGUAAUGCCUAGGAAUCUGCCUGGUAGUGGGGGAUAACGUUCCGAAAGGAACGCUAAUACCGCGUACGUCCUACGGGAGAAAGCAGGGGACCUUCGGGCCUUGCGCUAUCAGAUGAGCCUAGGUCGGAUUAGCUAGUUGGUGAGGUAAUGGCUCACCAAGGCGACGAUCCGUAACUGGUCUGAGAGGAUGAUCAGUCACACUGGAACUGAGACACGGUCCAGACUCCUACGGGAGGCAGCAGUGGGGAAUAUUGGACAAUGGGCGAAAGCCUGAUCCAGCCAUGCCGCGUGUGUGAAGAAGGUCUUCGGAUUGUAAAGCACUUUAAGUUGGGAGGAAGGGCUGUAGGCUAAUAUCCUGCGGUUUUGACGUUACCAACAGAAUAAGCACCGGCUAACUUCGUGCCAGCAGCCGCGGUAAUACGAAGGGUGCAAGCGUUAAUCGGAAUUACUGGGCGUAAAGCGCGCGUAGGUGGUU